AAAAUGUACCGAGACCUUAGAGAGCCACGAACCAAGAAACUUCAGAAACCUCUGAUAUCUGAUCAAGAGUUAAGAGACGUCAGAAUCAUCACAACUGACAAAAGGUGCUCCCGGAUUUUGCUCUCCAGCUUCUGGUUCUUGGUCUCCAGCCUCCUCACUCUGUCCAGAAUGUUUUCUCUCUUCAAGAUUCUCUUUUGAAAGACAUCUAAAAAGAAAUAGAUGACAAGAGGGUGCCCAACACACAAGGGGAAUUACAGAAUGCAUCCCCUAAGCAAAGGAAGCAGAGUGUGUACACACCACCCACCAUAAAAGGGGUUAAGCAUCUGAAAGGCCAGAAUGAUUCAGCGUUCCCUGAAGAAGAAGAAGGCACCAAUGAAAGAGAGGAGCAGCGGGACCAUUAAUUACUGGUCUGCAGCAAGAAGGCUUCUUGGAAAUAACUGAACUAUUAACUUUUCUGAGUAUACCAUGGAAUUCCACUGCUUGGCUUCCAGAAGCAUCCUCCAUCUCUGCACCCUGCACUCAUACAGUAGCUAUGCACAUCCUGGAAGUCUCCUUGACUGAACUUUAGAACUAAGUACACAUAGUUCCACAUCACUUACAAUUAAAGAAUAAGCAUUUAUUUUACAGUGAUUCUUCUUUUUAACUAUGUAAAAAUUUGCAGAUGUGACUGUUCUAACUUUAAUACUGCCAGAGCUUAAUCCUUGAUGUCUUACUGAUAAGGUUUGCAUUCUAACAACACAUGUAAAUAACACCACUUUAAGAGUAAAAAAUAAAUAUUAAACACAUUUA
rnacentral:sRNA from 1 species